CCGCCCGUCACAUCACGAAAGUGGGCUGUACUAGAAGUCGCCGCGCCAACCGCAAGGAGGCAAGCGCCCAAGGUAUGACUCAUGAUUGGGGUG
rnacentral:rRNA from 1 species